rfam:Nicotiana attenuata strain TT chromosome 3, whole genome shotgun sequence.
CCGACCUUAGCUCAGUUGGUAGAGCGGAGGACUGUAGUGUGCUGCUCAUAGCAAUCCUUAGGUCGCUGGUUCGAAUCCGGCAGGUCGGA